UACGGGGGGAGCAAGCGUUGUUCGGAUUUACUGGGCGUAAAGGGCGCGUAGGCGGUCAGCACAAGUCAGUUGUGAAAUCUCCGGGCUUAACUCGGAAAGGUCAACUGAUACUGUGCGACUAGAGUGCAGAAGGGGCAACUGGAAUUCUCGGUGUAGCGGUGAAAUGCGUAGAUAUCAGGAGGAACACCGGUGGCGAAGGCGGGUCUCUGGGCCGAUACUGACGCUGGAGGAGCGAAAGCGUGGGGAGCGAACAGG
rnacentral:rRNA from 1 species